rnacentral:tRNA from 4 species
GGAGGGAUGCGAGAGUGGCUUAAUCGGUACGCUUGGAAAGCGUAUGUCGUCGUAAGAUGACCGGGAGUUCGAAUCUCCCUCCCUCCGCAA